rnacentral:rRNA from 1 species
GUAGGUGGCAAGCGUUGUCCGGAAUUAUUGGGCGUAAAGCGCGCGCAGGCGGUUCUUUAAGUCUGAUGUGAAAGCCCGCGGCUCAACCGUGGAGGGUCAUUGGAAACUGGAGAACUUGAGUACAGAAGAGGAAAGCGGAAUUCCACGUGUAGCGGUGAAAUGCGUAGAGAUGUGGAGGAACACCAGUGGCGAAGGCGGCUUUCUGGUCUGCAACUGACGCUGAGGCGCGAAAGCGUGGGGGGAGCAAACAGGAUUAGAUACCCUGGUAGUCCACGCCGUAAACGAUGAGUGCUAAGUGUUAGGGGGUUUCCGCCCCCCCCUUAGUGCUGCAGCUAACGCAUUAAGCACUCCCGCCUGGGAGUACGGCCGCAAGGCUG